rnacentral:rRNA from 1 species
AUUGAACGCUGGCGGCAGGCCUAACACAUGCAAGUCGAACGGUAACAGGAAGAUUCUUGCUUCUUUGCUGACGAGUGGCGGACGGGUGAGUAAUGUCUGGGAAACUGCCUGAUGGAGGGGGAUAACUACUGGAAACGGUAGCUAAUACCGCAUAAUGUCGCAAGACCAAAGAGGGGGACCUUCGGGCCUCUUGCCAUCGGGUGUUCCCAGAUGGGAUUAGCUUGUAGGUGGGGUAACGGCUCACCUAGGCGACGAUCCCUAGAUGGUCUGAGAGGAUGACCAGCCACACUGGAACUGAGACACGGUCCAGACUCCUACGGGAGGCAGCAGUGGGGAAUAUUGCACAAUGGGCGCAAGCCUGAUGCAGCGAUGCCGCGUGUAUGAAGAAGGCCUUCGGGUUGUAAAGUACUUUCAGCGGGGAGGAAGGGAGUAAAGUUAAUACCUUUGCUCAUUGACGUUACCCGCAGAAGAAGCACCGGCUAACUACGUG